CCUUUGUUUUAUUUAAUAUUAUUUUUAUUAAAAUUAUUAUUUAGGAAAUACAUAUCGCAAGACUUGGUUUGAUUUGCUGUUUAUAACUCCUAAUUUUUCCCUAGUGACAAAAAGAGUAAAGAGUUAACUGCCUGCUGAAGACAAAGAAGAGUGUGAGAAUCCCUGUUGUGUUUGUUUUCUGAGUUAGAAUUUUAAAACUUCACAGAGCAGUUUUAUGAAGGAAAAAUGCAUAUGAUCACACAAUACCUUCAUCAUAUAACCAGCACUAAGACACAGAGAAAAGGUUUUUUAAAAAAAAUUAAAAUACAGCAUUUGUCUAGCAAUGAUUAUAAGCUUUAGACAGCUCUAUAAAUUCCAUCCUUUUCUGUAUGGGAAAGCAUUUGCAAAGAACUAUAGGGAGUAAGAUUGAGAAUAAAGGAGAGAGAGAAAGAUGGCCGUAAUUGUAAUAUCCUGAGAUUUGCUGAGCCCAAAAGUCUGUCUAUUGAGCCACUUUCACAGGAUUGUCGCUGUCUCUCUGCAGGAAACAUAAAAUCUGAUCAAGUUCAGAGACGCAUUGAGAGACUGCUUCAAGCAGUGCUUUAUAACUGCAGUCUUUUCACAUCCUUCCCCCCAAUCAGCCCCAGGAAAGAGUUCACAUUCUUUAUUUUAGAGUUUUGCAAAAAAAAAAAGAAAAAAACUCCACCCCUAUAAAAAUCAGCCUCACUACUAAUGCCAUGUCUCAUCAAAACCAAUCAAAAUUCAUGCUACACAUCCAACAAGAACACACUAAAAGUUGAAAGAAUGUGUCAUACUGCUGCUCUUUAAAACACUAGAAGGUUUGAGACAGGUCUGCAGUCUUCAUUCAUCCAAGGUCUUUCAUGUGUUUUUGACACUGGAACUUGUAUCCAACUGUUACCAUCUCUCUCAGCUACAAUGUCAAAACUGAUGAUGAUACCCCUUUCACACUCUGUCCUCCCAUAUCAUAAAUCUUAACUCACUGCUCCCAAAAUCUCACUUUAAGAUGCCAAGACCCAGCGGGUGAGAAACGUCCAGAGAGGGACACUGGAGGAGCUGUAAUAAAGCAAGGAGAAUUUAAAUGGGAGCGUAUGGGACAGGAUAUGAAGAGAGGAAGGCAGAUACAAUUUUGAUAAAUUGACAAGAGAAAAACAGCUAUUACCCCCUGGAAUGUGCUUUAAAAGAAUCAUAGCAAUUAUGAAAAAUGCCAUUUCUCUUUAUGGAUUACAGCUAUUAUAAAACCAUCUGCCACUUCUUGACUACCAUAUGUAAAAGAGAGGUCUGUAACUAUAUUGUCUUCUUCUAAUGUUCAUGUUUAAAUCAGAUACACUGCUCUUGCUACAGGAAAUCUCAGACAGCACUGUUAAUAGGCAUUUUAUUACGCUAUUUUCUUUUCUUUUUUUUUCAGGUGUAAAUGAACACAUCAUUAAAAACCUAGAAUCAGCAGCAAAGAGAGAGAGCAUCUCACACUAAGCAUAGUAAGCCCAACCUCCUGACUCACAUUUUGCAUAUGCAAUCACAUCACAAGCAACACACACGCUGUGCACAAUGGGACAAAAAGCAAGCAAGAGAUGGAAGCUGAGAGAGGGAGAGGGGGAGAGAGAGAGAGAGAAUCGACAGAGAAAGCUAGAGAUGCAACCUGCAGUAUGUUGAUGGGGCUAUCCGGGUUCAGCUACAUGUCUUGGUUUGCAGCCUCUGACAAUCCCACUGUAGAUGAGAGGGAGAUGUCCUCACCAUCUCUGUUAUUGUUCCCUCUCUGUAAUGUGAAUGUCAAUUCUGUAUCCAGUUCUAAAGCACCAGUGUAAAUAAGGAGCUGUAUUCAGCUUACACUGCACUUGGGAUAUGUGGAUCACGCCUUUUUUUCUUUGCUGCUGCUUCAUGCAAACUUUAAUCCACAGGGGUCUAAUCCUCGAAAAGCAGACAUUUCAGACUGAAAGAGCGAAGCUCCAUUAAUUAGAAAGUGCGCCAGUUGUAGCCAAAUGCCAUUAUAUUAGUAUGCAAAGCUCACAGUCAGUUAAUCUCUACAAAUCGUUUGUUUCCUUAAUUGCCCUCUAAGGGCAAAAGUGAAAAACAGUAGAAC